AAAGAUAACGGUUAAAACCGUUAUAAAAAGUGCAAAAAACUGUUAACUAUGAUAAAAAAAAUAAAAAAAAAAUUAAUACAUAACGGAAAAAUCUUAAUACAUAACGGUGAAAAACCGUUAUGUAUUCUAUCAAAGAUAACGGUUAAAACCGUUAUAAAAAGUGCAAAAAACUGUUAACUAUGAUAAAAAAAAAAAAAAUUAAUACAUAACGGAAAAAUGUUAAUACAUAACGGUGAAAAACCGUUAUGUAUAACCGUUAUAGAUAACGGAUUGGAACCGUUAUGUAUGAUACAUCGUACCGUUAUCUAUGCUACUAUACAUAACGGUUUUGAAACCGUUGUCUAUGACGUAUAGAAUAGAUAACACCACUAUACACAACG
rnacentral:lncRNA from 1 species